rnacentral:miRNA from 1 species
UUACAUGUUCCGGGUAGGAGC